CUGAAAUAUCUGUGUAAAUCAGGUCAAAAUUCUUUGAAUUUAAGUUCUUAAUUUUUUCUUUAUACAGGGAGAGUAUCAUUGUUUCAUUUGCAUCUCUUUUGUUUUUAAAGGCACCUUUGGAAAAAUUGGCAUCUAUGAAGAUUUUUCGUGUGCGUAUAGGAGUUGGUUCUAUGGGUGUAAUGUUGUCCAGGAUAUCUUUAAAUUCAGCAUACACUUUGGACACUGGACACUGGACAGAAGCGACGCCGCUGGCAGGCCAUAAGCCAAGACCCUGACCAGUUCUUUUGCUGUGUUGCAUUUGCAAAUGAUGAGCUUGCAUAUUCAUACCUGUUCCUUGUAAAGGCCUUAAAGAAAAGAAUUGCAUUUUUGGGAUGGGUGCCAAAACGACAGCCAUUAAUCAUAUGAAGAAAUAUAUUUGUUUUGUUUCCUUUA